AAAGGGCGAGCCGAAAACCUUAAAAAACAGAGUAGGUA
rfam:Aquimarina atlantica strain 22II-S11-z7 contig7, whole genome shotgun sequence.